GUCCAAGUUCGAGCAGAUCCACAGGUUGCGUUCCCAUGGUCUCAUUUGCACCUUCACUCAGGGGGAGGAUCCAAGCAUUCCUACCUGGAUAUAAGCUGAGCCUUGCUACACCAGAAACACCUUGCCUACUGGAUUCCCAGAGGACAAGAUCUCCAUAACCGCCACUGGACCUCCAGAGGAAGACCAGACCCUUCUACGGGAUCACUGCUUUGACAGAAUCACGUUCAUCACUCCAACAGGACUGCAGUCACCAUUUAUUGGGACUGCUGCCACCACCAUUACCAACAGGGUGUCAGGUUAUAUCCUGACUCUGUCAGUUUAAGGAUUUCCCAAUCCCAAACCUUGAUCAGAUGCAAGAGGAGGCUGCGAGGAAAAGGAACAUGCCCUGGGACACCCAGGCAGGUGAGGAGGAAGUCAGUGCCCCUUUCCCCCUCUCUCCUGCUCCAUCUCCCAGCCCAACAUGGCCCCUGGCUGCAGGACAGCCCUGCUGUCAACCCCAUACUGCCAGGGAUGCUCUGAGGGAAUCUCCUUCCCCUUCCCUGUGGCACGGAGCCAAAUCCCAUCCUCUCCUUGUCCUUCCUUCCCCAGGGAAGGAGCUGAGGAUGGUGUAGUAGAUAGGGUCAGGCGCUCGGAAAAUCUCGCAAUGUCACGGAAAGCAGUAGAAUUCCUCUCCACCUAACGCCUAGUGAUAAAGGAUCACCCAAGAAUGUAGUCCCCCCUAAGACUAGUAUCUUUCGACUCCUUACUAACCAAUUACAGUAAGGUAAGACCCCCUGAUGU